UGCGAGUUAUAUGAGUGUCUGAAAUUCAGACACACUUAUAUUCUAUUGCGAGCUAUACGGGUGUCCGAAUUUCGGACACUCUUAUAUUAUAUUGCGUGCAAGUUAUAUGGGUGUCUGAAUUUCAGAGAGCGAUAUAACUCGCAAUAGAAUAUAAGAGUGUCUGAAAUUCAGACACCCAUAUAACUCGCAAUAGAAUAUAAGAGUGUCUGAAUUUCAGACACCCAUAUAACUCGCA